UUGAGUUCCUUAGAGACAAAAGGGCCUUCUUCGGGCAUAUGAGAUCUAAACCAGGCAUGCAACAGCUGCGCACAACAUAAGAUGGUUCCUCCCUUCUUCUCAUGACGAUCAUGGAGAGAGUAGUGGAGGUCUGCCAGGAGGAACGGUACAGGGUUACCAGAGAGGAAGAUUCUCACCGCCAGGUGGUCCACAAAAUGGUCAAUAUUUGGGAAGAGAACUAUCCCAUAUAC
rnacentral:lncRNA from 1 species